UGCAUAUCCAAAAAGCGGAGGAAAAGAAACCAACAGGGAUUGCCCUAGUAACGGCGAGUGAAGCGGCAACAGCUCAAAUUUGAAAGCUGGCUCCGGCCCGCAUUGUAAUUUGCAGAGGAUGCUUCUGGCGAGGUGCCUUCCGAGUUCCCUGGAACGGGACGCCAUAGAGGGUGAGAGCCCCGUAUGGAUGGACACCAAGCCUGUGUGAAGCUCCUUCAACGAGUCGAGUAGUUUGGGAAUGCUGCUCAAAAUGGGAGGUAAAUCUCUUCUAAAGCUAAAUACCGGCCAGAGACCGAUAGCGCACAAGUAGAGUGAUCGAAAGAUGAAAAGCACCUUGAAAAGGGGGUUAAACAGUACGUGAAAUUGUUGAAAGGGAAGCGCUUGUGACCAGACUUGCGCCGGGCGGCUCAUCAGGGGUUCUCCCCUGUGCACUCCGCCCGGCUCAGGCCAGCAUCGGUUCUCGUGGGAGGAUAAGAACGGUGGGAACGUGGCCCCCCUCCGGGGGGGUGUUAUAGCCCACCGUACGAUACUCUCGUGGGGACCGAGGUUCGCGCUCCGCAAGGAUGCUGGCGUAAUGGUCAUCAGCGACCCGUCUUGAAACACACGGGACCA
rnacentral:rRNA from 1 species